AGUCAAGUAAUUAAGUGCAUGUGGUGGAUGCCUUGGCAGUCAGAGGCGAUGAAAGACGUGAUAGCCUGCGAAAAGCUCCGGGGAGGCGGCAAAUAUCCUUUGAUCCGGAGAUGUCUGAAUGGGGGAACCCACCUACUUUAAGGUAGGUAUUGCAACAUGAAUACAUAGUGUUGCAAGGCGAACGAGGGGAAGUGAAACAUCUCAGUACCCUUAGGAAAAGAAAUCAAUUGAGAUUCCCUCAGUAGCGGCGAGCGAACGGGGAUCAGCCCAUUAAGUUAUGUGUGUUUUAGUGGAACGCUCUGGGAAGUGCGAACGUAGAGGGUGAUAUUCCCGUACACGAAAGGGCACACAUAAUGAUGACGAGUAGGGCGAGGCACGUGAAACCUUGUCUGAAUAUGGGGGGACCAUCCUCCAAGGCUAAAUACUCCUGACUGACCGAUAGUGAACCAGUACCGUGAGGGAAAGGCGAAAAGAACCCCUGUGAGGGGAGUGAAAUAGAUCCUGAAACCGCAUGCAUACAAGCAGUGGGAGCACCUUCGUGGUGUGACUGCGUACCUUUUGUAUAAUGGGUCAGCGACUUAUAUUCAGUAGCAAGGUUAACCGUAUAGGGGAGCCGUAGAGAAAUCGAGUCUUAAUAGGGCGUUUAGUUGCUGGGUAUAGACCCGAAACCAGGCGAUCUAUCCAUGAGCAGGUUGAAGGUUGGGUAACACUAACUGGAGGACCGAACCCACUGUCGUUGAAAAGCCAGGGGAUGACUUGUGGAUAGGGGUGAAAGGCUAAUCAAGCCUGGUGAUAGCUGGUUCUCCCCGAAAGCUAUUUAGGUAGCGCCUCGGACGAAUACCAUAGGGGGUAGAGCACUGUUUCGGCUAGGGGGUCAUCCCGACUUACCAAACCGAUGCAAACUCCGAAUACCUAUGAGUACUAUCCGGGAGACAGACUGCGGGUGCUAACGUCCGUAGUCAAGAGGAAAACAAUCCAGACCGCCAGCUAAGGCCCCAAAAUCAUAGUUAAGUGGGAAACGAUGUGGGAAGGCAUAGACAGCUAGGAGGUUGGCUUAGAAGCAGCCACCCUUUAAAGAAAGCGUAAUAGCUCACUAGUCGAGUCGGCCUGCGCGGAAGAUGUAACGGGGCUAAAACUAUGUGCCGAAGCUGCGGAUUUGUACUUUGUAUACGUGGUAGGGGAGCGUUCUGUAAGCCGAUGAAGGUGUGUUGAGAAGCAUGCUGGAGGUAUCAGAAGUGCGAAUGCUGACGUGAGUAACGACAAAACGGGUGAAAAACCCGUUCGCCGAAAGACCAAGGGUUCCAGUCCAACGUUAAUCGGGGCUGGGUGAGUCGACCCCUAAGGCGAGGCCGAAAGGCGUAGUCGAUGGGAAAAUGGUUAAUAUUCCAUUACUUCUGUGUAAUGCGAUGAGAGGACGGAGAAGGCUAAAUCAGCCUGGCGUUGGUUGUCCAGGUGAAAGGAUGUAGGCAUGUAUCUUAGGCAAAUCCGGGGUACUCUAUGCUGAGAUCUGAUAGCAAGCUGUACUUGUACAGCGAAGUGGUUGAUGCCAUGCUUCCAGGAAAAGUCUCUAAGCUUCAGUUACACAGGAAUCGUACCCGAAACCGACACAGGUGGUCAGGUCGAGUAGACCAAGGCGCUUGAGAGAACUCUGCUGAAGGAACUAGGCAAAAUGGUACCGUAACUUCGGGAGAAGGUACGCUGUUGUUGGUGAUGGAACUCGCUUCCUGAGCUGACGACAGCCGCAGAAACCAGGCCGCUGCAACUGUUUAUUAAAAACAUAGCACUCUGCAAACACGAAAGUGGACGUAUAGGGUGUGAUGCCUGCCCGGUGCUGGAAGGUUAAUUGAUGGGGUUAGCGUAAGCGAAGCUCUUGAUCGAAGCCCCAGUAAACGGCGGCCGUAACUAUAACGGUCCUAAGGUAGCGAAAUUCCUUGUCGGGUAAGUUCCGACCUGCACGAAUGGCAUAAUGAUGGCGGCGCUGUCUCCAGCAGAGGCUCAGUGAAAUCGAAAUCGCUGUGAAGAUGCAGUGUACCCGCGGCUAGACGGAAAGACCCCGUGAACCUUUACUGCAGCUUGACACUGAACUUUGACCUUACUUGUGUAGGAUAGGUGGGAGGCUUUGAAGCUGGAACGCUAGUUCCAGUGGAGCCGUCCUUGAAAUACCACCCUGGUAAUGUUGAGGUUCUAACUCUGUCCCGUGAUCCGGGACGAGGACCGUGUCUGGUGGGUAGUUUGACUGGGGCGGUCUCCUCCUAAAGAGUAACGGAGGAGUACGAAGGUGCGCUCAGCGUGGUCGGAAAUCACGCGUAGAGUAUAAAGGCAAAAGCGCGCUUAACUGCGAGACCCACAAGUCGAGCAGGUACGAAAGUAGGUCUUAGUGAUCCGGUGGUUCUGUAUGGAAGGGCCAUCGCUCAACGGAUAAAAGGUACUCUGGGGAUAACAGGCUGAUACCGCCCAAGAGUUCAUAUCGACGGCGGUGUUUGGCACCUCGAUGUCGGCUCAUCUCAUCCUGGGGCUGAAGCAGGUCCCAAGGGUAUGGCUGUUCGCCAUUUAAAGAGGUACGCGAGCUGGGUUUAGAACGUCGUGAGACAGUUCGGUCCCUAUCUACCGUGGGCGCUGGAAAUUUGAGAGGAUCUGCUCCUAGUACGAGAGGACCAGAGUGGACGAACCUCUGGUGUACCGGUUGUGACGCCAGUCGCAUCGCCGGGUAGCUAUGUUCGGAAGGGAUAACCGCUGAAAGCAUCUAAGCGGGAAGCCUACCUCAAGAUAAGAUUUCCCUAGGACUUUAUGUCCUCUAAAGAGCCGUUCGAGACUAGGACGUUGAUAGGUUGGAUGUGGAAGCAUAGUGAUAUGUGAAGCUGACCAAUACUAAUUGCUCGUGAGGCUUGACUAU
rnacentral:rRNA from 1 species